GAUGAACGCUGGCGGCGUGCUUAACACAUGCAAGUCGAACGGGAUCCAUCAGGCUUUGCUUGGUGGUGAGAGUGGCGAACGGGUGAGUAAUGCGUGACCGACCUGCCCCAUACACCGGAAUAGCUCCUGGAAACGGGUGGUAAUGCCGGAUGCUCCGACUCCUCGCAUGGGGUGUCGGGAAAGAUUUCAUCGGUAUGGGAUGGGGUCGCGUCCUAUCAGGUAGUCGGCGGGGUAACGGCCCACCGAGCCUACGACGGGUAGCCGGCCUGAGAGGGCGACCGGCCACAUUGGGACUGAGAUACGGCCCAGACUCCUACGGGAGGCAGCAGUGGGGAAUAUUGCACAAUGGGCGCAAGCCUGAUGCAGCGACGCCGCGUGCGGGAUGACGGCCUUCGGGUUGUAAACCGCUUUUGAUCGGGAGCAAGCCUUCGGGUGAG
rnacentral:rRNA from 1 species